GUCGCUACUACCGAUUGGACGUUUUGGUGAGGUUCAGAGAAUGUAGCUUUGCAGUGGUUCGCCUCCGCUUUGCACGCAUGAACUGACCCAAACCUGAGCGUCUAGAGGAAGUAA
rnacentral:rRNA from 1 species